rnacentral:rRNA from 1 species
CCUACGGGUGGCAGCAGUGAGGAAUAUUGGUCAAUGGACGAGAGUCUGAACCAGCCAAGUAGCGUGAAGGAUGACUGCCCUAUGGGUUGUAAACUUCUUUUAUAUGGGAAUAAAAUGUUCCACGUGUGGGAUUUUGUAUGUACCAUAUGAAUAAGGAUCGGCUAACUCCGUGCCAGCAGCCGCGGUAAUACGGAGGAUCCGAGCGUUAUCCGGAUUUAUUGGGUUUAAAGGGAGCGUAGGUGGAUUGUUAAGUCAGUUGUGAAAGUUUGGGGCUCAACCGUGAAAUUGCAGUUGAAACUGGCAGUCUUGAGUACAGUAGAGGUAGGCGGAAUGCGUGGUGUAGCGGUGAAAUGCUUAGAUAUCACGCAGAACUCCGAUUGCGAAGGCAGUUCACUGGACUACAACUGACACUGAGGCUCGAAAGUGUGGGUAUCAAACAGGAUUAGAUACCCUUGUAGUC